rnacentral:rRNA from 1 species
UACGGAGGGUGCAAGCAUUAAUCGGAUUUAUUGGGCGUAAAGGGUGCGUAGGCGGGAAUUUAAGUCAGAUGUGAAAUCCCGGGGCUCAACCCCGGAAUGGCAUUUGAAACUGGAUUUCUUGAGGAUAGGUGGGGAAAGCGGAAUUCCACAUGUAGCGGUGAAAUGCGUAGAUAUGUGGAAGAACACCAGUGGCGAAGGCGGCUUUCUAAUCUAUAUCUGACGCUGAGGCACGAAAGCAAGGGGAGCAAACAGG